UACGUAGGGGGCAAGCGUUGUCCGGAUUUAUUGGGCGUAAAGAGCUCGUAGGCGGUGUGUCGCGUCGGUCGUGAAAACUUGGGGCUUAACUCUGAGCUUGCGGUCGAUACGGGCAUCACUUGAGUUCGGCAGGGGAGACUGGAAUUCCUGGUGUAGCGGUGAAAUGCGCAGAUAUCAGGAGGAACACCGGUGGCGAAGGCGGGUCUCUGGGCCGAUACUGACGCUGAGGAGCGAAAGCGUGGGGAGCGAACAGG
rnacentral:rRNA from 1 species